AUGGGGCGCACCAGGGGCGAACACUUUACAAUGCGGGAAACCGCGAUAAGGGGACACUGAGUGCCAGCAUACUAUGUUGGCUGUCCACAUGUGUAAAAAGCAUGUGUUAGCAAGGGCUGGGCAAGACCGGUGCCAGCCGCCGCGGUAACACCGGCAGCCCGAGUGGUGAUCACUAUUAUUGGGUCUAAAGGGUCCGUAGCCGGUAUGAUCAGUCUUUUGGGAAAUCUGACAGCUUAACUGUUAGGCUUCCAAAGGAUACUGUCAGACUUGGGACCGGGAGAGGUAAGAGGUACUACAGGGGUAGGAGUGAAAUCUUGUAAUCCCUGUGGGACCACCAGUGGCGAAGGCGUCUUACCAGAACGGGCCCGACGGUGAGGGACGAAAGCUGGGGGCACGAACCGGAUUAGAUACCCGGGUAGUCCCAGCCGUAAACGAUGCUCGCUAGGUGUCAGGAAUGGUGCGACCGUUUCUGGUGCCGUAGGGAAGCCGUGAAGCGAGCCACCUGGGAAGUACGGCCGCAAGGCUGAAACUUAAAGGAAUUGGCGGGGGAGCAC
rnacentral:rRNA from 1 species